UAUUACAAUAAUAAUCCUGCUAAGUAAGAGAGGAACUGCAGAUUUAGGCGUUUGGCACCUGUGACUAGCUGAGGAGUCAAUGGUGUGAAGCUGCAACCUGUGGGAUUAUCAUUGAAUGCCUCUGUGCCAGAAUACCCCUUGAAUGGUGAUA
rnacentral:ncRNA from 1 species